UAUAAUUUCAUUAUGAGAGAUUGAACAUUAAGCAAAUAUAUUUGAAGUACAUUGGAAAAUGAUGAAAUUGAUGAAUAAUGAUAUUGAAAUCCUUUCCUCCAAUUAUCAACAGACAAAAACAAAAUCAUCAUCAUCAUCAUCAAUUUCAUCAUGGUUUUGAACAGCUUAGUAGUGUUUUCAGUGGCACGUUUUUCUACACAAGCUUGGCAAUGGUUAAUAUGCAUUCGUGACCCUUUUAGCGUUGAUGAGCUUUUUGAUAUUCUCUUCACUUUCCCUUUUCAACAAUUGCAUCGUCUUGCUCUUGGUCUUUGGGAUUUCUUCUGUCUUCACCAUCCUUAUGAUUUCAUGUUUUCUUACCUUCCUUCUGAUGAGGAUGAAGUUUAUUCUGUCAACUCCUUUGAUUAUGAUGAUGGGUCCUAUUACCAUUCUCAUUCUGAUUGAAUUGGGUUUCAUCUUUUGUGGGUAAAGUAAGUUUCUUUUCUCUUUCUGUGGCUUUUUCUUUGGUGGGGUUUUGUUGGAUUUUCCGUUUUGAUUGAAAGUUUUUAACUUUGAUGCUUGAGUGAAUUGGGUUUUUUGUUUUUUGAAUUUUUGUUUGCUUCUAUGAAGUUGUUUGAUUUCAGAAAUUUGAAGAUAAACAAAGUUAAUGGUUGCCUCUAGGGCAUUAAUCUUUAUGGUAGCAUUUGACAGACCUAUCAUUUAAUUAGAGAAUAAGACAUAUAGAUUCUGGUAUACCUUAUAAAUAGAACAGAAAAAAUAUCUUGUUCCAUUAUGUUAUAUCUGAAAAGCAAUCAUUAUCAUUUUUUUGGUGGUUUAACUCACCUAUUAGGAUUUAAGCACACGAGCAGAGUCCGACUCAAAAGACUAGUCUAAUACCACAUUGCGUUUGUUACGCUACGCGAUGUGGGGCUUAAGUACCACACAUGGUUGGUACAUUCUUUUGUGCCACACUUACCAUUCAUGUUUAUAUUUACCAUUUACUAGUUUUCUGUAAUCAUGACAGAUUCUGAGGUUUGUUUGCCUUUUUAUCAGGGUGAGGAUUGUCUUGAUGAAAAUUUAUAAUUCUUAUGUUGGUUUUGUUAUCUUGUUUGGUUUUUAAAAACUGUGAAGAAAACACAUUUCAACAGCUAUGCCAGUUUUGGAGGGGUUCUUUGUUUGUUUGUAAUGAAUAUUUUGCUUGAUACAAUUUGAAGCAUCUAUUAGUUUUCCAUGGAUGUAAUGAUUGUAUCCACACUAUUCAGAUGCUAUGAAACAAACAACUGGAUGCAGCAAAAGUAGAUCUUGAUUCAAAAUAUAUUUAUGUUUGUAUAUGUUCACUUUGACUCUUAAUUGCAUUGGAUGUUUAUGUAGCAAUUGAGAUGAAAACCCGUGAUGAUCCUAUCUUGUCUAGCGUAUCUAUUUAUGAAUUGCUUUCUUGAAAUAUGGAAUUUGGUGCCAUAUGGGAUCAGAGGAUGUACCCAGUAACCUUAACUUUGGUCCAUGAAAAUAUAUUCAGUCCAUCCAAAUUCCUCCAACAAUGUUUCUAUUUGGUGCAGCUUUGCUUUUAUUCAAAUUUCAACAUUGGAAACAUCAGGAGGAAGAAUUUUCAUGCUAAUUAUCUUCAUGGAGUGGUGGAAUGAUACAACUUUGGGUGGUUAUGGCACAAGAGACCAUAGGAUUAAGUGCAGUCUCUGAUUUCUUACUAAGCCCCUUAUCUGGUUGCUAAUGGAUGAUAAAAAGUGUAAGAUUAUUACAUUGAGGAUUUCAGUUAUGUUUAAGGUGCCUCCAUUGUGUACAAAAAACAUCUUUUACAGUAAGAUUCUUGUAGCUGAGUGAUUGAUCUCUGCUUAUUAUAUAUCCUUGUAAAGAAUGCUAUGUGAGUGUCAACAUAAUUUUAAAUAUGCUAUUGAAAGUGUG
rnacentral:lncRNA from 1 species